AGAUACGACGGUUUCCGAGGACUGUUUCCUACAGGAGGGGAGCCUACCAUUGCUUGCCCUUGAAACCCCUGUGGAAACUCCUAGCCUCACCCAACCGGUCCUGCGUCGGACUGUGCGUUCCACGGCCGGUCAGCACUCGAACGUUCAUCAUCUCCCGAAGCCCGCUGCAAACAAUGAUGGAGAGUAGGUACCUUCACCGUUGGGGCCCAGUGGUAGCCAGUCGGUAGCAGAGGUUGGCGUCAACCAAUGUCGAAAUAUGGGUUCACCGGUCGUCGUCGGGGCGACGACUCAAAAAGGGGAGGGUAGAAUGUGGCAGAGUGGGCUACGCCUCCACAGUCCAUCCCCCCAGGUGUAAUAAGAAACACUGAUUACUGGGCGGGCUUGUAUUUUGAUAUAUAGCCCAGCUCAGGUCACGGGGAGACACGUCCUCCUAACCUUGUUUUGCUUCCGGGUGCCCAUCAGUUUGUAUGGUGGCGUGGGAUUGCAAAUUGCACUACUUGGACUAAUGCUGUUACCGAAGCACGAGUGGUUCAUUGUCGCGACAAAGCCGGUGUAGCGGUUGCUCUGACGCCGGGUGCUCGGUGGGAAUCAGCUGGAGCUCCGUCCAUGACUCGCUGUCCCUGAGUGUGCAGUCAUUGCAGCUCGGCACGUUGAGCUGAGGGUCAUCCACUGCCUCCACCCGGGAAGGGCUGCUGUUCUGUUUUACUGUCAAAUACAUGUUUAUAAUUGACCGGCAUGCUCAUGCUUGGUGUGUAUCUCUCUGUGAUUUCCUGCAUGCAUGGGGCUAGGCUGGGUAUGCUACCUUCCAUCUCCGCUUGCUCUGCCUGAUAUUGUUUUGUUGGUUUCUUUUGAUUUGAUGCAUGGGGCUGUGCAGUGGGCUGCUGCUUUUCCCUCUCUGCUUGGCCUGCAUGUUUUGUUGUUUUGUGCUGCUGCUAUGUUAACUAUGGUGGUGGUAAUUCUGAAUGAUUGUUAACUAGCCUAACCGUGUCUUUGCUGAAGUGCGUGCGUGUGCCUCUGUGUGUGGGUGUGUGCAUGUAGCUAAGGUAACCCAGGGUACUGUGACAAAGCCCGCUACUCCCAGCUGACCGUCGGAGGUCCACCCCGUCCUAAGUCCCUCCGCCAAAGCUAAGUAGCCUCAGUAGGAUAGCCACACUAUUAAAUCCUCUCCCUGCCUCUUUACUGUCAAGUGUUUUGCUAACCCCAGUGCCUCUAUCUCUCUCCCUGGACAGGUGCAGUGAGUUUCACUUGAGCGACAGGCUGACCCCCAGGUGGUGGAGCCCACCCCCUCACUUUUCCUUGCUGUGUGCAUAACGGUUGCCCUAUUUUGGAGUGUAGUGCUUACUGGUUUUAUGCACGUGUGGUGUGUGUCUUCUGGGCCUCUCCUGUCCCCCUCUUGGAAAGUCCUGCUCGCUGCGGUAAGCCACUGCCCUGCUCCACCUUUGAGUCCUGACCACUGGCCCAUCUCCGUAAGGCUUUGGCCAUCUCACCUGCUCAUAUUCGGGUCAUAGCCCACUGGCUAACAUUGUACGUGUCUACUGUGUGUGUUUAGUGUAUGUGUGUACGCUGGAAAUAACUCUGCUUGGUUGUUGUGUGAGAGGCAACAGCCUGUACUAUAAUUGCCCUGUACUCCUUUUACUACUGUCUGUAUACCUGUUAAUAAACUGUAUUUAUGGAACCAAUGUCUCUGGCCUAAGAGUGUUACGAACUUGUGUUUGCCUUGUUAGAGCUAAAUUAACACAGAGUCUAUAUCUGUCCUAGGGUGACUACCUAGGUGGCGUAGUCGACAAUUAAAACUAUCCUAGUAAACUACCUCGCCACUGUCACAUACAUAUAAUCUUUUAUAAUCUCCAACAUUUUGAUUAGUGUCUGUAAUUGAAUUACACUUUUUUUCAUCUCAGUGACUGUAAUGGAUUACAAUUACAUGUAACUAGUUACUCCCCAA